rnacentral:misc_RNA from 1 species
UUUCCGUAGGUGAACCUGCGGAAGGAUCAGUAUUGUAUAACCGAGGUGCGAGGGCUGUCGCUGACCCGAAAGGUCGUGCACGCCCGAGUGCCCUCACACACAUCCAUUUCACCCCUAUGUGCACCACCGCGUGGGUCCCCCUUUGGCUUGUUCGGAGGGGGGCUUACGUUUUCACACAAACUUUGUAUGCAGUGUAGAAUGUAUUUUUUGUUUUUGCGAUCACGCAAUCAAUACAACUUUCAACAACGGAUCUCUUGGCUCUC